rnacentral:rRNA from 1 species
GACGAACCGUGCAAACGUUGUUCGGAAUCACUGGGCUUAAAGGGCGCGUAGGCGGAUUCCCGAGUCGGUGGUGAAAUCUUUCGGCCCAACCGGAAAAGUGCCGCCGAUACUGGGAAUCUCGAGGGAGGUAGGGGUCGGGGGAACUGGUGGUGGAGCGGUGAAAUGCGUAGAUAUCACUAGGAACGCCGGUGGCGAAAGCGCCCGACUGGACCUCUUCUGACGCUGAGGCGCGAAAGCCAGGGGAGCAAACGGG